GACGAACGCUGGCGGCGUGCUUAACACAUGCAAGUCGAACGGAAAGGCCCUGCUUUUGUGGGGUGCUCGAGUGGCGAACGGGUGAGUAACACGUGAGUAACCUGCCCUUGACUUUGGGAUAACUUCAGGAAACUGGGGCUAAUACCGGAUAGGAGCUCCUGCUGCAUGGUGGGGGUUGGAAAGUUUCGGCGGUUGGGGAUGGACUCGCGGCUUAUCAGCUUGUUGGUGGGGUAGUGGCUUACCAAGGCUUUGACGGGUAGCCGGCCUGAGAGGGUGACCGGGCACAUUGGGACUGAGGUACGGCCCAGACCCCUUAGGGGGGGAGACGGGGGGAAUAUUGGACAAUGGGCGGAAGCCUGAUUCAGCAACGCCGCGUGCGGGGUGACGGCCUUCGGGUUGGUAACCGCUUUCGCCUGUGACGAAGCGUGAGUGACGGUAAUGGGUAAAGAAGCACCGGCUAACUACGUG
rnacentral:rRNA from 1 species